rnacentral:rRNA from 1 species
UACGGGGGGGGGCAAGCGUUGUUCGGAAUUACUGGGCGUAAAGGGCGCGUAGGCGGCCUGCUAAGUCGGACGUGAAAUCCCUCGGCUCAACCGAGGAACUGCGUCCGAUACUGGUGGGCUUGAAUCCGGGAGAGGGAUGUGGAAUUCCAGGUGUAGCGGUGAAAUGCGUAGAUAUCUGGAGGAACACCGGUGGCGAAGGCGGCAUCCUGGACCGGUAUUGACGCUGAGGCGCGAAAGCUAGGGUAGCAAACGGG